GGCGGGGGAGCACAUGGAGUGCACUGUGUUCGACUUACGGGAAAUCUUUUUGUAUCACACUCGGAGGUGCCCGUUCGACUCGGGCCCCCGCCA